CUUCGGAUCGCUGUCUUCUUUGACUGUGGACGUCUUGGAACUCUAGGGUCUUGCUUAAGGAAAGACAAAUGGAAACAUCUGAAAAUAAAGAGAUGACUGUCACUGACCGCACUAGGACGCCAGCCUCCCAUCCCAAGAGGCCGCGCUCCAAGUCGCCACCUGACAAACUCGAAAGUAAACAUCAUAGGAAAGCAGAUUCUCAAAGUGAAGCGAAGACAUCCACCAGCCCCACUGGGCUCCUGCCCGUCCUACCCAACAGAGUAAAUGAAGAGCUCCAGAAUCAUACUGACAACAAAAUGGAUGAAGACAAUAUUUUUUGGGGUUUUAAUUAUUUAUUAGUGAAGACAGAUGGUUUUACAAAAGAUCUUUUUAAUAUAAAAAAACAAGAAAUCCAGGACUGUAAUCAGUUUGCAUUUGCUUUUAUCAAAAUGAGUGAAGGUCCACUUGUGAGUGUUCUUAAAGCUUUACCUACUGAUAAAGAACACGCAGAGAUUAUACUAAUUAGAUCUCUAAAUAGUUUUCUGGAAAAUAAUAGAAAUUGCAAUAAUUCCAAUCACCCUGAGUUUAUUGUGAUUUAUACACUAUAUAGCCCGUGUUCAGGUGUUCACCUGAACUUGAAAAGGCAAGAGUCAAGUGGCAGAAAUUUGGAAUUCGUACACAUGUGUAUUAUUCAAUCUAUUGGACAAAAUCAUAUAUCAAUCGUUUUGGCUGUUAUUCUAAAUAUGAUCAUUUAAAGAGUGAUCUUUCCAACGAUGUUAUAUUUGCUGAUUCAAAAAGUUUGUGGUCAAACUAUUUUGAAAAAUUGGAGUCAGAACCCUUCAAAAUAGAAAUUAGACGGUCUUUCCGAAAGGAAGACUACUUUAAGCCUCUGCGUGACCCCUUUGAAAAAGCUAAUAAUCCAGGUAUUGAUAAUAAUAAUAAUAUUAGACAAUCUAAAAUAGAUGCGCUUGCUGAGGCUCAACGCAAUCUGUUGGACGAAUUUAAGAAUUCAUCAGACACAAGAGAACAAUAUAAGAAGCUGAUCAUAACAACGAUCAAUUCUAUAGUUGACAAUUAUAUCGACCCCCAAAUUUCUGUAAAUAUUGCCAAUUCGAUAGUUGAGAAAGCAUUUUUUUGUCAUCUUAAAAAAAGAAUGGCAGCAGAUUUAGAACCACAAGUCAUUCAGCUCAUUCAAGAGCUGCUUCUGGUGACUGACUGCCAUCUAAAACUACAUCAGAUUGACUUCACCCCUGAAUUUCUUAUCUCGAGGGACAAUUUAAGGUCAGAUGAAUUCCCUAUAGAAAAUAGUAAAAUUUUUCAAACUGUAAAACUUAGAUUCGAAGAAGAUGUUAGUCAAUCAACUGAAAUAAAUCGUGAACAAAUCAAACGUGUUUAUGAAACUCUCAGGAUCCCAUCUUGGACCAGGGAACAACAUCUUAACUAUGGAAAGAAAAUUAUAGCUUCUUUAAUCAAGGAAAAGUCACUAUUUGACACCAUAUUCAAAUGCUGGGAAGAAAUUUUUAAUUCUAAUGUUGAGUAGGACAGAGCAGGAACCAGUGCUUCUCUCUUGGCCCUCGUCGCAGACGGACACUUUUCCCCUCAUCUUCUCUGCUGGCUUUAGCUGUCUUGUCUAACGUGCUCAUUUUUUGGACACACACAAAUUAACGUCUGCGAUGUUUCUGCCCCCCCCCCCCCCAUCCUUGACCGAAUGACUGUGGCUCUUGGGAGUCGGGGUCAUGAGGACCGAGGAAGGUUUCCCGCCCCAAUCCAAACAAAAAGAUCCCUCUUGUCAUAUCUCCAAUGUCUGAGUCAGAUGUAUAAUGUUAUGUAUGUGCUCUACGCAUUGCUUAUUACCUCAACACUUUAAUGCUAAUAAAAAAAAAAAA